rnacentral:rRNA from 1 species
UUCCGGUUGAUCCCGCCGGACCCCACUGCUAUCGGGAUAGGACUAAGACAUGCUAGUCGUGUGCCUCAGCCAAAACGAGGCACGGCGCACAGCUCAGUAACACGUGGCUAACCUGCCCUUAGGACGAGAAUAACCCCGGGAAACUGGGGCUAAUGCUCGAUAGGUGAAGAACUCUGGAAUGAGUCUUCACUUAAAAGAGUCUGCGUUAUGCUCGUAGAUUUCGCUUAAGGAUGGGGCCGCGACCGAUCAGGUUGUUGGUGAGGUAAUGGCUCACCAAGCCUUUUACCGGUGCGGGCCGUGAGAGCGGGAGCCCGGAGAUGGGCACUGAGACAAGGGCCCAGGCCCUACGGGGCGCAGCAGUCGCGAAAACUUUGCAAUACACGAAAGUGUGACAGGGCUAUCCCGAGUGCCAUCCGCUGAGGAAGGCUUUUACCCAGUCUAGAACGCUGGGGGAAUAAGGAGAGGGCAAGUCUGGUGUCAGCCGCCGCGGUAAUACCAGCUCUCCGAGUGGUGUGGAUGUUUAUUGGGCCUAAAGCAUCCGUAGCUGGCUAAGUUAGUCCCCUGUUAAAUCCAACGAAUUAAUCGUUGGAUCGCGGGGGAUACUGCUUGGCUAGGGGACGAGAGAGGCAGACGGUAUUUCCGGGGUAGGGGUGAAAUCCUACAAUCCCGGGAAGACCACCAGUGGCGAAGGCUGUCUGCUAGAACGCGCCCGACGGUGAGGGAUGAAAGCUGGGGGAGCGAACCGGAUUAGAUACCCGGGUAGUCCCAGCUGUAAACGAUGCAGGCUAGGUGUUUGGACGGCCACGUGCCGUUCUAGUGCCGCAGGGAAGCUGUUAAGCCUGCCGCCUGGGGAGUACGAUCGCAAGAUUGAAACUUAAAGGAAUUGGCGGGGGAGCACCACAAGGGGUGAAGCUUGCGGUUUAAUUGGAGUCAACGCCGG